AACGAACGCUGGCGGCAGGCUUAACACAUGCAAGUCGAGCGCCCCGCAAGGGGAGCGGCAGACGGGUGAGUAACGCGUGGGAAUCUACCUUUUGCUACGGAAUAACUCAGGGAAACUUGUGCUAAUACCGUAUGUGCCCUUCGGGGGAAAGAUUAUCGGCAAAGGACGAGCCCGCGUUGGAUUAGCUAGUUGGUGAGGUA
rnacentral:rRNA from 1 species